CAACCAUCAUGUGGCCUGGAGAAGCUCCCACUGUUGCCCUGGUAUAUCCGACUGGCAGAUGUUGGUCACUGAUCUACUGGACUGGCUUUCUAAGCACAAGCCGCUGACAAAGUGCUGAAUGAAGCUGCCUUUCAUCUUCCAUUUCUGAUGAUGGUGUCAUGCCUCCAAUUUCAUAUCUUCUUCAGAGUCAUCGUAACUUGCGUUGCUGGUGAUUUCUGUGGAGCAGUACAAAAGCAACUGCAACAUAUGCAGUGGAGUUUGUUCCUCAGUUUCUCAUUAAAGCUGCAGCCCUAUUGCCACCACCCAUGUGGCUUAGCAACCUUGGGGAUGGCACCCCCCACACCGGGUAACAAUACUGUACCUUGACCACACUUUGUGAUGUCACUUUGUCAACUUUAUAAAUAUCUGGUCCAGCAGAGACUUUAGGUAGAGUCAUCAUGUCUUCAAGAGAGGAAAACAGGUUGCUAUCAACGCAUAAAAAGAAAAAAGAGGAAAAGACCUAGGAAGACCUUUCCUCAAACAAGACAUCCAGGGCGAGGAAGACACAUCUGAACAUUCAUAUGAUAACAAUGUUGAUCUGGAUCCUGGGUGUUCUUUCUUUCUGAUUUAUGUUUUCAUGAAGAUCUUUUCUCUGUGUUGUUUAGAAACUUUCAUAAGGAAGAAUGAGAAAAACUGUUUUCAAGACUUAAAGCAGAUUUCAAGGAGUUCAGCACAGGAUUCUGAAAGAUGGAUGACCUGAAAAACUGCCUCACUCGCUUCUUUCUGUUAGAAUAUAUAAAUAUAUCCCAAG